rnacentral:tRNA from 1 species
UGUGGUUGUGGCUCAGUGGUAGAGCACUUGCCUAGCACAUGCUAGGUCCUGGGUUCAAUCCUCAGCACCACAA